CAAUAGCGUAUAUUAAAGUUGUUGCAGUUAAAAGCUCGUAGUUGGAUUUCUGGGAGGGUGCCAAUGUCCGUCGUCGUACGUGUUGCAGCGGCGCCCUUCCAUCCUUCUGUUAACGACUUUGGGCAUUCAUUUGCCGGAGUCGGGCUCAGAUAUUUUACCUUGAGAAAAUUAGAGUGUUUCAGGCAGGCUAGGCCGGAAUACAUUAGCAUGGAAUAAUGGAAUAGGACUACGGUCUCUUUGUUGGUUUGAGGGACUGCAGUAAUGAUUAAUAGGGACAGUUGGGGGUAUUCGUAUUUCGUUGUCAGAGGUGAAAUUCUUGGAUUUCCGAAAGACGAACUACUGCGAAAGCAUUUACCAAGGAUGUUUUCAUUAAUCAAGAACGAAAGUUAGGGGAUCGAAGACGAUUAGAUACCAU
rnacentral:rRNA from 1 species